GCCAGGCAUGGUGGCGCAUGCCUGUAAUCCCAGCUACUCAGGAGGCUGAGACAGGAGAAUCGCUUGAACUUGGGAAGCGGAGGUUACAGUGAGCCCAGAUUGUACCAUUGCACUCCAGCCUGUGUGACAGAGCGAGAUUCUGUCUCAA
rnacentral:SRP_RNA from 2 species